GUGCAAGGGCUUCAAGAGUUGGCGCCUAAAAGGAUUACUAAAAGAAGUUGAAUAACUUAAGUUAUAAGAAAACCUAAUGCAUGUAGGACUUGUAUUAUGAGAUUGAAUAAGAUUCAAUCCUUAUGUCUAUUUAAAGAGACCUCCCCUAAGGUCCCUAGACAAUCAAAACCAGCACCCCAUGCCUCUCUUAGAACCCCCCACACCCUCUCUUCCUGUCCCUUUCUCUUCUCCCCUUGGACAUCCACACGUCCUAGCACUUGGGGCGUCCCUUCUUCCUCAUGCCCAAGGGCUAUCGAGCAUCCACUUGUUGCUGGUUCCUGAUGUUUGGUAGAAGUACAAAGCAAGAGAGAAAGGUAAGAGAAGAAGAGAAGAAAAAGAUCAAGAAAAGAGAUCAAGAGUUGAUCACGAUCCAAGCUUCGUUCAGAUUCAAUAGGCUGAAUUUUCUUAGAGAAAAAAAUUUAACUUGAAGAAAACUAUUUCAGACUGAUCUCGAGUGAAUACCCAUAGA
rnacentral:lncRNA from 1 species